ensembl:ncRNA lncRNA:CR44801 long non-coding RNA:CR44801
AAAUUAAACAUUUAUUAUAGAAAUGCAGCCAUAAAUAAAUUGAGUAAACACACGGAAAACCGAGAAAAACAAAGCCAGGCUGGAGCAGCCGUAUAGCUAGCCCAUCCUUUCCACGCUCCAUGCGCAAGUUGUUGGCCAUGUGGAUGUGGAUGUGGAUGCGGAUGCGGAUGCCCAAUUGGCCAUCAGUGGCCGCUUAGCCGCAGAUGCCAUGAAAUUGAAUAGGCGGCAAACAAAACUGCAAUGCCGCCACAUGCAGAAUGCUCUGCAACUGGCCAAUUUAUCAUGGCAUGUUCGAACGAUUUUUAAUCGAGACCCAUGUCCUUUAGGGUAUUCAAAAUGUAUCAGUAUAUGCACUGAAUUGCUCGUUUUUUUCUGCGGCUCGUUUUAUUUAAAUUGCAUUUGGUUAAGCAUUAAAUUGAUUUUCAUGACUUCAGCUCAAGAGUUAUGCGUCUCCGAAAAACUUCAUGGAGUCUUGGAGUUUUUGGCCACGAGAAGGGGCAAGAAUCGUAGGAUGUGGAGGACGAAGAAAGAGGACUCAGAACCGUCUGCUUUUCGUUGGCCGGAUAAAAUAUGAAGGCCUGACUGGCGGACUGGCUCCGUUUAAUGAGCUCUUCGCAGUGCGAAUCCACAGCCAGGGCACCAGGACCCCAGUUCACCAGUUCACCCGUUCAGCAGGAUCCCAGGAUUCCAGUUGGGACAAGUUUAAGCCACAGAUGGCUUGGCGACGCGUCGCUGCAUCUGACUGCUCCUCAAUUCGCUGCCGCAUUGCGAUUUGCGCUAAUUCACGUGUUUCCGCUUGCCCAACUUCGGGUUGCACUCCCCUUCAAAGUCUGAGCCCUCCACUCCACGCCGGAUCCUGCUCCACUCCAGGCCACUCCUUGUCGCCACAACAGUGCACGGCGAGAAUCAAAUGGUAGAAUCUAACAAACUGCAAGAUACUAGUUUCGGGAACCCACAUACCUUUUCCCACAAUCGAAUUUGCAUCAGCUUUGCUUCGAACCAAAAACUCGUAGCCCAGGAAGUCCCAUUCAGCCGUCUUCUGCAUCAUUUGCAGAACUGCAGCUCCAUUUGCUCCUCUGCUCACUCAGCAUCAUUAUUUAUCCGAAAUUUGCUUACAAGGUGCUUACAAUUUUUCCAAAUAUGCCAGCCAGAACAGACAGAAAUAGCCGCACUCCGAGUGUUAUUAGUUGGCCAGAUGGGGCAGCUGGGGGCCACUAUUGACAGCCAAUGCAUCGAUAGCCACUCAGAAAGGAGCCUGGAUGCACUGAAAACAAUAGUAUGUAGCUAUGGAGUACUCUACAUAUGUAUGUAGUAGUAGUAGAAGUAUACAUUUCGUUCCAUGGAGGAGCUCUUAGUACACAUUUGCUUUUGCAGUGCACCCAAGCGAGGGCAUUUGCAUGGCAGCAUUUGAAUCAUAUAAAAAAAGGAAAAAAAACAUGAAUUGCCAUCGCCUUUGGCGAACGGAGCAGUAUCCAUUUGAUUUCAUUUGCUUGUGGCCUGGCACCUGGAUGGCCAUCGAUUUGAGUGUCGCUCCCCGAGUAUUUUAUUCACCCGCCAAGUGGACGCCACUUUAACGUGGCUUAAAGUCUCCGAGGCAUUAGCAAUCAGCUCCUGACGAAUUUGCCGGCGAUGCGGGAAAUGGCGAUACAGCUGCAGAGCUACGGCUGCGAAUACAGAUACAGAUGCGCAAUCGGAUGUCGAUGCAGCGAUAUAUUGAAAUUCCGGCGUGGCAGGAGCUGUCGAACUCUGCGGUCCAGCAGCUGAAGGAUGCGCACAUCCGCUGGCCGAAAAAAGGAAAGGAAAAUAAACAAAAUUAACGGCGCUUGCCGCUGCUCCUUUUCCUGCGCCAUCGCGCUUUCGGUCCUCGUCCUGGCCGCUUUUGGUCAUUAGAAGUGACGGUGCCGCAAAGCCACGCACUGGGCUCCAGGACCAGCGCCAUCCAGAUCUACCCAGCACUCCGACCGUGCGACAGUGAAUGGUCAGCGGCCCGUUGUCCCCCGUCGGUCAUUUGUCGUGACUCAGUUUUUGGCCUGAGUUCAAUUUUCUGGUCAUGCACAUGGCAGCCGCUGCUGCAGCCCGUCGAAUUUUGUUCAUUAGGCACGCACACACAUGGCUGCGCCCUUCCGUCCGCCGCUUCAGCCACGCCCCCUGCAGGAUGACCUGGCCGUGGCCAUAGGGAUGGGGAUUGGGAUAGGGAUUGCGAUGGGCGAUUGAGAUGGGGUGAUGGCGACUAGAAUUGUUCCGCAGAGAGGCGCACAGCCGGGAUCCGCAAUGUAAUCAACGAAAUCGCUCGAAUCGCCAGAAAUCGGCGUUUUGUCUAGGAGGCAGCGGCAACAAUAGAAAAACAACGAGGCAGGCAGCAGAUCCGGAUCCGGGUCCGAAAACCAGGGCCCGGCCCGUAUCCGUAUCCGCCUGGAGCAGCACGAGUGCAAAAACAUGGGUGGCUAGGUGCCGAGUUGUCUCGACGCUGGCAAUACCCUUGCGAAAUGUGAUGCAUUCGCAACGCAGAUGCAGCAAAAUGG